CCUACGGGUGGCAGCAGUGGGGAAUAUUGCACAAUGGGGGAAACCCUGAUGCAGCGACGCCGCGGGAAGGAAGAAGGAGUUCGGUAUGUAAACUUCUAUCUGCAGGGAAGAAAAUGACGGUACCUGACCAAGAAGCCCCGGCUAACUACGUGCCAGCUGCCGUGGGAAUACGCAGGGGGCAAGCGUUAUCCGGAUGUACUGGGUGUAAAGGGGGCGUAGGCGGUGUAGGAAGUCAGGAGUUAAAGGCCGGGGUUGAACACCGGGACUGCUUUUGAAACUGUUGAACUAGAUUGCAGGAGAGGUAAGUGGAAUUCCUAGUGUAGCGGUGAAAUGCGUAGAUAUUAGGAGGAACACCAGUGGCGAAGGCGGCUUACUGGACUGUAAAUGACGCUGAGGCUCGAAAGCGUGGGGAGCAAACAGGAUUAGAUACCCCAGUAGUC
rnacentral:rRNA from 1 species